rnacentral:misc_RNA from 1 species
GCAAAGACCAUUCUGAUUUUUGUAUUCAUAAUGAAAGCCUCUUGGUCCUUCAUCUGGUAAGAAGGUACCACGUUCCACGGUGCAUAACAUCCUUUGGAAUAAUCCAUUCUGUGUCUCCUAUUUUCUCGUUGGCCUCCGUCGUCCAUCUUAUCUGUCGUGCUUGAUGAGGAGCAGACUUGUAUCUGCGUCUAUAUAGUACCUUCUGGAUCUAACAUCAACUAGCUCACCACCCAGCAGUCAUCCGGCGAAGUAAGAUGGCGAGUGAAGUAUGAUCAUUAGCGAAUCGCCG